UGAAGGCAGGGAGACCCUGCAGAGAGACCUCGACAAAUUACAGGACUGGGCAAUCACCAACAACAUGAAGUUCAACAAGGGAAAGUGCCAGAUCCUGCACCCGGGAUGGGGCAACCCUUGAUGUACAGUCAGACUGGGGAAUGAGAUGCUAAAGAGCAGUGCUGCUGUGGAAAGGGACCUGG